rnacentral:rRNA from 1 species
CUGCGCUGAAACUUUUCGACUGGAGUUUGGGAGGGGCAACCGGGAAUUCCUGGUGUAACGGUGAAAUGUGUAGAUAUCAGGAGGAACACCCGUGGCGAAGGCGGGUUGCUGGACCAAAACUGACGCUGAGACGCGAAAGCGUGGGUAGCAAACAGGAUUAGAUACCCUGGUAGUCCACGCUGUAAACGAUGAGUGCUAGGUGUAGGGGGUAUCGACUCCCUCUGUGCCGCAGCUAACGCAUUAAGCACUCCGCCUGGGGAGUACGGCCGCAAGGUUAAAACUCAAAGGAAUUGACGGGGGCCCGCACAAGCGGUGGAGUAUGUGGUUUAAUUCGAUGAUACGCGAGAAACCUUACCUGGUCUUGACAUGCUGGGAACCCUUAAGAGAUUAGGGGGUGCCUGCUUGCAGGAGCCCAGACACAGGUGGUGCAUGGUUGUCGUCAGCUCGUGUCGUGAGAUGUUGGGUUAAGUCCCGCAACGAGCGCAACCCUUGUUACUAGUUACCAGCACGUAAUGGUGGGGACUCUAGUGAGACUGCCGGUGACAAACCGGAGGAAGGUGGGGAUGACGUCAAAUCAUCACGCCCCUUACGACCAGGGCCACACACGUACUACAAUGCCCGGUACAGCGAGUUGCGAAGCUGCGAAGCUAAGCUAAUCUCUUAAAACCGGGCCAAGUUCGGAUCGGAGGCUGCAAUUCGCCUCCGUGAAGCUGGAAUCGCUAGUAAACGCAGAUCAUCAUGCUGCGUUGAAUACGUUCUCGGGCCUUGUACACACCGCCCGUCACACCAUGGGAGCCAGUAACACCCGAAGCCGGUGAGCUAACUUAACGGAGGCAGCUGUCGAAGGUGGGAUUGGUGACUGGGGUGAAGUCGUAACAAGGUAACC